UGCAGGAUCCCACCUUCCCAGCACUAGGAGCUCGAUGCCUGGGUAGAUGGAACAUGGGACCAGAAGAAGACAUAACUAGCAUUUUCUUCCACGGGUCUUGGGGUUGAUGCCAGGACAUGAGUCCAGUUUACUAGCGGAAGCAAGAAGAAACAAAAUUAUAGCUACCAGACAGACAUGUUCACCAAAGCAGACAAUCAGGACCUCAAGCCCCAGAUAAUGUAGCCCCAUGGAUUGCUAAGCUCUCUGAAGUCUGAUGUCAAGGAAUCAGCGGCUCGUCCUUGACAGCAGAACAAUGAGAAUGGUAACAAAUGGAACUGAUCAAUGGAAACAUGCAGCCUUCAUCACACAAGCUGGCAGAUUCAUCAGAAU